rnacentral:rRNA from 1 species
UACGUAGGGGGCAAGCGUUAUCCGGAUUUACUGGGUGUAAAGGGAGCGCAGACGGCAGUGCAAGUCUGGAGUGAAAGCCCGGGGCCCAACCCCGGGAGUGCAUUUGAAACUGCCAUGCUGGAGUGCCGGAGAGGUAAGCGGAAUUCCUAGUGUAGCGGUGAAAUGCGUAGAUAUACGGAGGAACACCAGUGGCGAAGGCGGCCUGCUGGACAUUAACUGACGCUGAGGCGCGAAAGCGUGGGGAGCAAACAGG